CCUCCUCCUCCCCCCACUAGCGCCUCCCUCUCCUCCUUCCCCGCCUUCGCCCGGCCUCCUCCUUCCGCCCCACCGAUCUGGCGCCGCCCCGCCUCACCGUCCUCCGCCGCCCGCCUCCUGCCUUGCCUCGCCUCGCUCCGCUGGCGGCCUCCUGCGCCACCCUGCCUCGCCACGCUCCGCCGGCCGCCUCCUGCGCCGCCCCAUCUCACCGUGCUCCGCCGGCCUCCUCCUGCCUCCCACCGUGGAGAACGGCGACAGGCGGCUGCCAACGGACGGAUACAGGCAGAGGAGGGUCAGAGAGGCGCGCGGAAGGCCGACGAGGUUGGGCAGCGCCGGAUCCAGAGUUCGGGGUGGUGCCAUGGUUGCUCGGUGAGCUCCUGCAGGGGAAGAUGGCGGGGCGAGAUUUAAAGGGAGAUGGCAGAGAGAAGCGAAAGGGAGUGGCGGCGGGGAUUCUGUUGCUCACCGCGAAUAUCGAGCGCUUGGGCACCAUGCGAGGCUGCGGCUGCGGGCGGUUGGAGACGCAGCCUUAGGCAAGCUGCUGCUGCUUUCGAGUGCUGAGCGUCGCUCCGUCGAGUCCGGCGGACGAAGGAUUAGGGGAGGGGCGGGCUGUGGAGACUUCGAGGCGGCUGGUGGAGGCGUUGGCCUUGUCGGAAGGCCGGAGGAGGCGACCGGUGGUGGCUCGCCAUGGCCGCACUUCACGGGAGCGGAGGUAGGCAUUCGAUGGCCAGUCCGUGUGGAUGCAGAUGAGACCCAGCCGUGAUGAACAAAUAGUAGUAGACUGUGCUGGUCUUUUCCUCCUAUCUGAAUUUUCUGCAGAUGAGAUCCAGCCGUGAUAAACAAACAGCAGUAGGCCGUGCUGCUCUUUUAUCUAUUCUGAAUUUUGUGCAACUCAGAUCCACCAAGGAAGAGAUGGAUGAGGUCGUGCUGCUCCUCUCAUCUAUCUCAAUUGCUAUAUGAAAAGCUCUAAAUUUCCAAUCAGCCAUGAAGGACCGAUCAGAAGCGAGGCCCUUGCUGCUCGUGUCUCCAUGCUGGUGGCAACCCGACCUUCAGCUUGCCAGCGACAGGCAGGAAUCCGGUCAGUGGCCGCCAAAUAAGUACAGAUUACGGAAGAGACCUAAGUCCGACCACCGCCCAACUCCCAGCUACUCGCUGCAAUUCCCACAUCCACCUCAAAUGGGAUAAGCGCUCCAGGUGAGGCGUCCCCGGCUAGGAGCAGAUCUGGAUCCCAUGGGUCCACCUCUCCCCGUUCGUUGGAUCUUUGCCCCCCAGCCGUGCCACUCCUCAGGUUUGCUGGCUGAUGUCACGCCCGUUCCAAGGCAGGUUUUUCCCAGGGGAACCUCCUGGGGUGUGUCCUAUGAGGUAGAAGUUUCUUGCUCGGUUCCUUGUGUUUGGGAUGAUCCAGAUGAGAUAGUGCAUCAGUUGCUCACAGGAAGAAACCACCACAAUGAGAAUCCUCUUCUAAUCUGGCAAAGAGGGGAAGAUAGAUACCUGGCUGCCUGGAAAAGUAUUUUUCAAAUUAACCAGAAUGAGUUUGACUUGGUGUACAAAUGCCUUAAUGUGGAACUUCAAGAAAAGGUAUUACUACUGUUCCCUGUUUGCCUACCAACAAAUAUUUGGGGAGACUCCUGAAUUUUUCACAUACCACUGGAAGCUAAAUUAUUCUGGUGGUAUGAACUAAGCUGUGGUUUCCCUAGAAAAAUAAGCAUUUUGUUUUUGUUGCAGUGUGCAUUGUGUUUACUUGUGCUGGAACGUUAUGUUCAAUUACUACUGAUAAAUAUACUGUUAGAACAUGUUUUGAAGUGGAAUUUCAAAAUUUGGCAGUAAUGCAAUGGGGGUCUGGCUGUGUUUUUCGAAAGUGUUGUCGAUAACAAGAGGCUUUUACGACAAUGGAGGCAGCGACAAGCACUGAUAGAUAUACUGUUAGAACAAGAUACAUGAUUUUGAGUGGCUAAUUUGGCAGUAAUGCAAUGGGGGUCUGGCUGUGUCUUUCGAGUGCGGUGUCGGUAAUGAGAGGCUUCAAUGACAACGGAGGCAGUGACAAGCACAUAUAUGCUCUAGCUUUGAGGCACUGAAUUGUGUAUAUUCUGAACCUGCAUUAGAGCUUCACAUGUGUAUGUUUUGAACCUACAUUAGAGCUUCACAUAUCAUUAUAUCGUGAGUCACCAAAAAAAUUGCAUUGCAAACUUUACGCUUUUCUUUUGACCGUAUGACAUCUUAAUCCUUUUAGGUUGGCAUCAAACUUUAUGAGUGGCUUUUUGUUAUUAUGUUGAGCCAUGCUUUAAUUUAUAUUAAUUGGCCAAUUUUUGAUGUCAUAUUUUCUUUAGAUGCAUCACUUGCAGUCAUCCUUUGAUUUCUAUUAAUUGAUCAAUAUUUAUUCUAGAGUCUACCAUGGAUUUACAUGCAACUCAGAGAUUUAAAGAUGUCUUCUUUGGCUGGCAUGAUUGUUUACCUUUUCCUCACUAGAAGCAAUUAACCUACAUGAUCUGUGCAGAAUAUGUCUCACCACUUUAGUAGGCAGGUUUAACAGGAAAUAAUAGUAGCACUAUUUCAACAAGUGGUUCCUUUGUAUGAUGCGGGGUGAGGGCGAUGAGGGCAGCGCCGGGUUUGACGCCGGACGGGGCGGCGGGGGAUGAGGGUGGCACUGUGUUUGAUGCCGGGCUUAAGUACCUCGAGGCCGUCAAUGGCAAUGUGCUUGUGUAUCCCAGGUUCAUCACCGAUCCUUUCACGAUUUCGCUAGACACGUUCUCUGGCGGGUAACUGCACACAACCACAGGAGGAGGUGGUGUUGUGGAAGAAUACGGCCUGGGCAAAGCCAUACUCUUGCAUCUCUUUCAACUGGACAAACAUGGUGGAUAUGGUGGUGGACCUGGGCAGUUUUGCUCUAACCUCAAACUCUUCUUUAUUCCCCACAUUUAGCUUCGGUAAUACUAGCUUUAGAGAACGGCGUCGCCGGGGAGGACGGGAGCGGCUCGACCAAUGGCCACCGCAAUGCUCUUCUGCCCGCUGCUUGCCUCGCCACCCGGGCGCAAAAUAGAGCUGACAAGACGUCUGUAUGUACUGCAGUUCAAUGAGGAAGCGCGUCACUUUUUGUAAAGAAAUACAAGACUAUCUUUUACCCAGGAGAGGUUAACUGAAUUAGGGAGAUGGCGCUGUGCCCAUGGACAAAGUCAGUUGCUCCGAUAUGGAUGAGCAGCAGGUGCUGCUACCGCUGCAGGUGGACAAGGCACGAGGUCUCAUGGCUCCUCCCACUCUUCCCAACAACACUGUUGUGAUGUACUGAAGCCUCUCGUUCCACAUGUUCAGUACUUGCACCUCAACGUCACUUCUGUGAGUGGUGGCCUAGGUUAGGUCAAUCCCUAAUCUCUGUUCCAAUUUAUUCCGGUGUCAUUAUUCUCAGCAUCCUUUAAUUUGCGAUUUAUGCUGCCUUUGUAUUUUUUGGGGCUAGAGAUUAUAGGUUGAUUUAGAUUGCUAACUCGAUUCAGACUGCCAAUACUACUGUAGAUAUCGAUGUUGCAGAGCAUCAUUAUCAAUUGGCUGUUAUCUCAUUGUGUUUAUGAGCAGAUACAACAUCUCUUGUGAGACUUAGUCUUACACUUGCUGAUAUAAACUACUUGGCAAUAUUUAUAGAAUGUAUGUCUUUCUGUUUGUACUACUUGAUACAAAUCAGUUGUCCUAGGCAAACAUUGUGGCUUGCUUUUGGUACAGAUUUUGUCUCUGUGAUCUUUAGUUUUAUGGUUAUCCUAGGCAACAACUACACUUUGCUUGUGGUAUAUAUUUAAUCUAUAUGCCCUAUAUUUAGUUAU